GUGAAGGACGGGUGGUCAUACGAGGGAGACGCUAGAUUGUUUGGCCAUAACCCCUAAUCCAGCGACCCAACCAGCCUCCGCAGCACCCUCGCCCCGCCCCCUCCUGUUUCGGUGCAGGAGAAGGGGUGUGGCCGUCUGGGAGAAAUGGCGGACGGGGGCGGGGCGAAGGGAAGGAGGGGUUGAGUGCCUGGGGAGUCUGCGCGGGGGCGGGGUUUAGGGUUGCGGGGAGGGAUGAGAAGAGUUGAGGGAAUUGAGAGGUGGAUGCCGUUUGUCAUUCUGGUUUGUGAAUGCUAAAAAGCAACUGGGGACUCCUGUCUUGAGUCAGUUCCAUCCUCCGGGCUCUCAGUCUCCAACGUUUUGCUGUCUGUAUUUCUGCUUUUCAGUCUGUCUUUAGGAUGAAGCUGUAACUGAACUGAAGGAAAGAGAAACAGCCCUGAAUCAUUGGAGAUCAGUGUUUCUCUGCCUUUUGGGCCCUGCACAACUGUUAGCCUGGUGGAAAAGUGCAAAUUGCUCCUGCUCUCCCAGCAGAUUGGUCCUGCUUUGCUUGCAGCCUCAGCAGAAUUUUGAGCCUGAGCUGAAGCGCCUCACUUGGACGUGCACGCACCCCACUUGGGCACGUCUGGAUCAGA
rnacentral:lncRNA from 1 species